rnacentral:tRNA from 1 species
GGGAAUCUUUGCCCUUGCUGGUAGCGCACCUCGUUCGGGACGAGGGGGUCGCAGGUUCAAAUCCUGGCAUUCCUU